rnacentral:rRNA from 1 species
GUCUACGGCGAUACCACUCUGAACCCAUCUGAUCUCAUCCGGUCUCAGAAGCUAAGCAGGGUUGGGCCUGGUUAGUACUUGGAUGGGAGUAAGGUCUUCAGAGGAGACUACUCAGAGACAAGCAGUUUGGAAACA